rnacentral:rRNA from 1 species
AACGAACGCUGGCGGCGCGCCUAACACAUGCAAGUCGAACGUGAAAAGGGGCAACCCUGAGUAAAGUGGCGCACGGGUGAGAAACGCGUAGGUAAUCUACCUAAGUUACCGGGAUAACAAGCCGAAAGGUUGGCUAAUACUGGAUAGAGCACAGCAGCCGCGAGGUUUUUUGCGGGAAUGGGUGGUUGUAGCAAUACGGCUAUCGACGUUGGAUGAUCCUUCGUCCGAUCAGCUAGUUGGUAGGGGAAAGGCCUACCAAGGCAAUGACGGGUAGCAGGUCUGAGAGGACGAUCAGCCACACUGGAACUGAAACACGGUCCAGACUCCUACGGGAGGCAGCAGUGGGGAAUCUUGCGCAAUGGGCGAAAGCCUGACGCAGCGACGCCGCGUGGGUGAAGAAGGCCUUCGGGUUGUAAAGCCCUGUCGAGUGGGAAAAAUGACAUUUAGAAUAAUAAGCUAGAUGAGUGAUGGUACCACUAGAGGAAGCACCGGCUAACUCCGUGCCAGCCGCCGCGGUAA